rnacentral:rRNA from 1 species
GUAGGGCGGGAAGCCAAGUCUGAUGUGAAAUCCUACAGCUUAACUGUAGAACUGCAUUGGAAACUGGUUACCUAGAGUAUGGGAGGGGGAGAUGGAAUUAGUGGUGUAGGGGUAAAAUCCGUAGAUAUCACUAGGAAUGCCUAAAGCGAAGGCGAUCUCCUGGAACAAUACUGACGCUAAGGUGUGAAAGCGUGGGGAGCAAACGGGAUUAGAUACCCCGGUAGUCCACGCCCUAAACGAUGAACACUAGUCGUCGCUCUGCUAGUCAGGGCGGUGAUGCACUUAACAGAUUAAGUGUUCCGCCUGGGGAGUACGGUCGCAAGAUUAAAACUCAAAGGAAUAGACGGGGACCCGCACAAGUGGUGGAGCAUGUGGUUUAAUUCGAAGAUGCGCGAAGAACCUUACCUAGCCUUGACAUUGAUUGAAUUCCGCAGAGAUGUAGAAGUGCCCUUCGGGGAGCAUGAAAACAGGUGCUGCACGGCUGUCGUCAGCUCGUGUCGUGAGAUGUUGGGUUAAGUCCCGCAACGAGCGCAACCCUCGUCCUUAGUUGCCAGCAGUUCGGCUGGGCACUCUAAGGAGACUGCCUUCGCAAGGAGGAGGAAGGUGAGGACGACGUCAAGUCAUCAUGGCCCUUAUGGCUAGGGCUACACACGUGCUACAAUGGGGCGUACAGAGUGUUGCGAUACCGCGAGGUGGAGCUAAUCACUUAAAGCGUCUCUCAGUUCGGAUUGGAGUCUGCAACUCGACUCCAUGAAGCUGGAAUCACUAGUAAUCGUAGAUCAGCAAUGCUACGGUGAAUACGUUCCCGGGUCUUGUACUCACCGCCCGUCACACCAUGGGAGUUGAUUUCACCCGAAAUUGGGAAGCUAAUCUUCGGGAGGCUACCACUUACGGUGGAAUUAGCGACUGGGGUGAAGUCGUAACAAGGUAAC